rnacentral:rRNA from 1 species
AGCGAACGCUGGCGGCGUGCUUAACACAUGCAAGUCGAACGCGCAGCAUUCUGUAGCAAUACAGGGUGUGGGCGCGUGGCGAACGGGUGCGUAACACGUGGAUAACCUUCCUUCAGGUGGGGAAUAACCCAGUGAAAAUUGGGCUAAUACCGCAUAACAAGGCGAUGGCACAUGCUGCUGUCUUCAAAGCCGCAAGGCGCCAGAAGAGGGAUCCGCGGCCGAUUAGCUUGUUGGCGAGGUAAUGGCUCACCAAGGCAUUGAUCGGUAGCC